AUUGAACGCUGGCGGCAGGCUUAACACAUGCAAGUCGAGCGGGGGAAGGUAGUUUGCUACCUAACCUAGCGGCGGACGGGUGAGUAAUGCCUAGGAAUCUGCCUGGUAGUGGGGGACAACGUUUCGAAAGGAACGCUAAUACCGCAUACGUCCUACGGGAGAAAGCAGGGGACCUUCGGGCCUUGCGCUAUCAGAUGAGCCUAGGUCGGAUUAGCUAGUUGGUGGGGUAAAGGCCUACCAAGGCGACGAUCCGUAACUGGUCUGAGAGGAUGAUCAGUCACACUGGAACUGAGACACGGUCCAGACUCCUACGGGAGGCAGCAGUGGGGAAUAUUGGACAAUGGGCGAAAGCCUGAUCCAGCCAUGCCGCGUGUGUGAAGAAGGUCUUCGGAUUGUAAAGCACUUUAAGUUGGGAGGAAGGGCAGUAAGUUAAUACCUUGCUGUUUUGACGUUACCAACAGAAUAAGCACCGGCUAACUUCGUGCCAGCCGCCGCCGUAACAC
rnacentral:rRNA from 1 species